GAUGAAGAACGCAGCGAAAUGCGAUAAGUAGUGUGAAUUGCAGAAUUCCGUGAAUCAUCGAAUCUUUGAACGCACAUUGCGCCUUCUGGUAUUCCGGAAGGCAUGCCUGUUCGAGAGUCAUUAACAACCGUUUCGAUCCCUUUCUUUCAGAAAUUACAAAGAGGAAAAGGGUUUGGUUAUGGUGGAGGAGGGAAAGGGAGCGUUUAGCCUGUAAAAAAAGAGGCUGUGUUCCGCCUCCCCCCCAAAAUUGUACAGGCGGUCGUGUGCGCCCACGCAUCGAGGUGUUGUAAAAGCUGCCACGGCACUUUUCACCUGUGCAGUGCGAGAUUGGCCAGCCGGUUUAAAAACCCCUCCAAACAAUCAAAGGUUGACAUCGGAUCAGGUAGGGAUACCCGCUGAACUUAAGCAUAUCAACAAGCGGAGGA
rnacentral:misc_RNA from 1 species